rnacentral:lncRNA from 1 species
AAGUUCCACCUUAGAGGUAUUAAUCCCUUCUCCAAAGAAUUUUUUUCUAAAAAGACUGUCCUAAGACUGACAAACAUCUUUUAUUCAUCAGUAACGUAAAAGUAAUACCCCUUAGUUUCUUUAAGAUAUUCUAUAAAAAUAUAUUUAUCAGAUCUGGCUCCAAAUUUGUCUGUUUUUAAAUGUUUGACAUAAGUCGGAGAUCCCCAAACCC